UAAACAAUUAUAGUCACCUAAUCAAUACUUAUACUCUCAAAUAAUGGACUUUUAAAUAAAAGCUAGGUCCUUGAUUUAUUUAAUUCAAAUUUACAAGAUAUUGUGGGACUUUUGCACGAUGAAUAAAUUACUUGUCAUGAGUUUUUGAUAGACAUUCGUCAAAGGAAUACAAAUUUCUUCAAGCAUUUGAGAAAAUACAGUAAUCAUAUUUAAGUCGGUGAAGACAGCCAAAAUUGCGGAGAGAGAAACUGAAUGUGCAAACGAGUUUGAUGUAAUCAAGCCGGUCAAGACGUAUGGUUCUUCAGGAAUGAAAUUUAUUUAUUCA